rnacentral:rRNA from 1 species
GAGUUGAUCGUGGCUCAAAUUGAACGCUGGCGGCAUGCCUUACACAUGCAAGUCGAACGGCAGCAUGAUCUAGCUUGCUAGAUUGAUGGCGAGUGGCGAACGGGUGAGUAAUACAUCGGAACGUGGCCCUGUAGUGGGGGAUAACUAGUCGAAAGAUUAGCUAAUACCGCAUACGACCUGAAGGUGAAAGUGGGGACCGACAAGGCCUCAUGCUAUAGGAGCGGCCGAUGUCUGAUUAGGCUAGUUGGUGGGGUAAAGGCCCGACCAAGGCGACGAGU